rnacentral:rRNA from 1 species
AUUAGAGUUUGAUCAUGGCUCAGAAUGAACGCUGGCGGCAUGCCUAACACAUGCAAGUCGAACGAAGGCUUCGGCCUUAGUGGCGCACGGGUGCGUAACGCGCGGGAAUCUGCCCUCAGGUUCGGAAUAACAGCGAGAAAUUGCUGCUAAUACCGGAUGAUAUCGCGAGAUCAAAGAUUUAUCGCCUGAGGACGAGCCCGCGUAGGAUUAGCUAGUUGGUGUGGUAAAGGCGCACCAAGGCGACGAUCCUUAGCUGGUCUGAGAGGAUGAUCAGCCACACUGGGACUGAGACACGGCCCAGACUCCUACGGGAGGCAGCAGUGGGGAAUAUUGGACAAUGGGCGAAAGCCUGAUCCAGCAAUGCCGCGUGAGUGAUGAAGGCCUUAGGGUUGUAAAGCUCUUUUACCCGGGAUGAUAAUGACAGUACCGGGAGAAUAAGCUCCGGCUAACUCCGUGCCAGCAGCCGCGGUAAUAAUC